rnacentral:rRNA from 1 species
AUGCAGUGCGCGGCCGGCUGCCACACGGCUUGCAGCAGAUGCCAGAGCAAGCUCCCCGGCAAGCGGUGCCACUCGUGCGACCAGGGCGGCGCCUACGUCCGGUGCCCCGUGAUGGACGGCAUCGUCUGCUCCGCCAGGGUCCGGUGCGCCUACCACCAGCACGGCUGCCCGAGCUACGUGCCCUACUACGAGCCCCGCGACCACGAGAGCGUGUGCCCGCACGCGCCCUGCUCCUGCACGGAGCCCGGCUGCGCCUUCGUCGGCUCGCCGCGGCGCUUCCUCGCCCACCUCAUCGACGCGCACUCCUGGCCCGUGCACACCAUCCGCUACGGCACGCACCUCGGGCUCGGCGUGCGGGCGUCGGAGCCGCGGGUCCUGCUCGUCGCGGCGGAGGAGGACGAGGCCGUAUUCCUCCUGGCCAUCGGCGCGCUCGGGCCGGCCAGGGCCGUCUCGGUGGUGUGCGUGAGGGCCAACGGCGAGGCUGGUCAGCAGUACGGGCUCAAACUCUGGGCGCACGCCAGCAACGAGCGCGCCAUCACGCUGGACUGUGAAGUCACCAGCAGCGCUGCGCCGGGCGAGGUCGCCGUGGAGACGGUGGAGUUCUUGACGGUGCCGCCGGCCAAGAUGACUGGACCUCAGGCGGACAAGGAGAUGGUCAUCACUGUUUGCAUUGACAAGAGCUUCUGA